UGGGGAAUUUUGGACAAUGGGCGAAAGCCUGAUCCAGCAAUGCCGCGUGUGUGAAGAAGGCCUUCGGGUUGUAAAGCACUUUUGUCCGGAAAGAAAUCCUUGGCUCUAAUACAGUCGGGGGAUGACGGUACCGGAAGAAUAAGCACCGGCUAACUACGUGCCAGCAGCCGCGGUAAUACGUAGGGUGCAAGCGUUAAUCGGAAUUACUGGGCGUAAAGCGUGCGCAGGCGGUUUGCUAAGACCGAUGUGAAAUCCCCGGGCUCAACCUGGGAACUGCAUUGGUGACUGGCAGGCUAGAGUAUGGCAGAGGGGGGUAGAAUUCCACGUGUAGCAGUGAAAUGCGUAGAGAUGUGGAGGAAUACCGAUGGCGAAGGCAGCCCCCUGGCAAGUACUGACGCUCAUGCACGAAAGCGUGGGGAGCAAACAGGAUUAGAUACCCUGGUAGUCCACGCCCUAAAACGAUGUCAACUAGUUGUUGGGGAUUCAUUUCCUUAGUAACGUAGCUAACGCGUGAAGUUGACCGCCUGGGGAGUACGGUCGCAAGAUUAAAACUCAAAUGAAUUGACGGGGUCAUAGCUGUUUCCU
rnacentral:rRNA from 1 species